UACGUAGGGUCCGAGCGUUGUCCGGAAUUAUUGGGCGUAAAGGGCUCGUAGGCGGUUUGUCGCGUCGGGAGUGAAAACACGGGGCUUAACCCCGUGCCUGCUUCCGAUACGGGCAGACUAGAGGUAUGCAGGGGAGAACGGAAUUCCUGGUGUAGCGGUGAAAUGCGCAGAUAUCAGGAGGAACACCGAUGGCGAAGGCAGGUCUCUGGGACACUACUGACGCUGAGAAGCGAAAGCAUGGGGAGCGAACAGG
rnacentral:rRNA from 1 species